GGGGGGCGAGAGAAGAAAAAUCAGCUGUGAUGUCAGGAAGUCAGUGACAAGUAAACCCACAUGAAGUUUUUCUGCCCUGUCGGCUACAGGAUGAUGCGAACUGUUUCUACGAAUAUGUUACACGAUCAACGAUCGGAAGAUAACAAGUUACGUUAAACAAAAUCACUAAUUGUGAUUUAGGUUCAAUACGAAAGGUUUGAAGAAAAAUCUCAACGACGUGCUGUCACUGAAGGCAUCACACAGAGAAACCAUUGCUUUCCCCCAAAACCAUCCUGUCACAGGGGAAGAGGAGGAGGUUUUGACCUAAGUGACUGAACUGGUCAAAUUGUCGAUCUGACAUCGAGAGCAGAAUGAAGAACAUCUCUCUUCUGUGGCUCCUCUCAUGUCUUUUAUCCUGUCUUCCUUCUCUCACCCCAACCGGUCGCAGCAGAUGGGUUUCAAACAUCAGAAUAAAAUUCUUCUGAGUUG